rnacentral:tRNA from 1 species
GGGCCCUUAGCAUAACGGUUAAUGCAACGGACUCAUAAUCCGCGGAGUGGAGGUUCGAAUCCUCCAGGGCCCACCA